AAUGCAGGGAGCACAAGGGACCAGGCAUUUGCUGUCAGGACAAUGCAGCCGGGAGGGCAGCUAUAAGGAGGCUGAUGCACCAAGCAAGCAACCCAGGCAUUCUUGGCAAUAUCUGGGGAGAGGUAGAGAAGGUGGAGAAAAGACUGAACUGGUUGCUAUUUUACAUGGGAAGAAAUAUGACUGUAUAUGGUACUCGGCAGCUGGUGAGGUCUGGGACAUUGAGUAAUAUGGCUGUGCUGUGAACGCCGUCACCCAGACAGAACGGUGCUCCCAAUUAGGGACAGAUAAAAUGAGAGCUCCUGUGUCCAGGAUUCUCCCCUGGUUGUGGUUGACUA